rnacentral:rRNA from 1 species
UGUGACUUACCUAUACGUUGCUUCGGCGGGAAUAGACGGCCCCGUAAAACGGGCCGCCCCCGCCAGAGGACCCUUAACUCUGUUUCUAUAAUGUUUCUUCUGAGUAAAACAAGCAAAUAAAUUAAAACUUUCAACAACGGAUCUCUUGGCUCUGGCAUCGAUGAAGAACGCAGCGAAAUGCGAUAAGUAAUGUGAAUUGCAGAAUUCAGUGAAUCAUCGAAUCUUUGAACGCACAUUGCGCCCGCCAGUAUUCUGGCGGGCAUGCCUGUUCGAGCGUCAUUACAACCCUCAGGCCCCCGGGCCUGGCGUUGGGGAUCGGCGGAGCCCCCCGCGGGCACACGCCGUCCCCCAAAUACAGUGGCGGUCCCGCCGCAGCUUCCAUCGCGUAGUAGCUUUCACCUCGCGACUGGAGAGCGGCGCGGCCACGCCGUAAAACACCCAGCUCUUCUGAACUUGACCUCGAAUCAGGUAGGAAUACCCGCUGAACUUAAGCAUAUCAAUAAGCGGGAGGAA